GUGGCUGUAUGAUAUUUAUUUGCCAAAAGGGAUUAAAUGACAACAGUCCUUUCAAGCACCCAAUGUGGGGCUCAAUGGGUUGAUAUAACUGACCAGAGUAUGUUAAAACAAAUUUGCUCUAAGCAUUCAUGAUAUUAGCUUAAUAGUUGCUGAUCACAGUGCUGAUUUAUUCUCUCAGAGCUGUUGUGCUGGUUUUCAGAGCUGAAUCAUGUACCACCUUCCUCAUAGCAUUCGCUCCCUACUUUGGUGUUUAUCACCUUUGGGGCCAGGGCUAAGGCUGUAAUUUUGAAGUACUCUGCAAUGCUGGCUGAUAAGAUAUGAUACGAUAAAUGACAUGGUAUGACAUGACGGAUCUGCUGGCACGCGGCACCACCCUCAUCCCUGGGCUGCGGGAGCCAUCUAGCAGCAACUGUUCACAAUUACACCUUUCACCCGUCCCAGAGCCAACCGAGAGAGGACACACCUUCCCCUCCUUCUCCAGGCUAACUACAACAGCUUCUCAAAAUUUUGGAUGUCCUCAGGAAGCUCAAACCAUCAGGAAGCAGGAUGUUGCUGAAUGUGCUUCAGAUCUAGUUUAGCAUUAUGCAACUAUCAGCAAUACUUCAACCCCCCACUACAAUUACUGUGGUUUCUCCAAACUCAUUGAUGGGCACUGCAGGCCCUUGGACAAUUAUAGUGCAUUUAAUAAUAAACAUGCACCCCCUAGGCAGACCCACUGCCAGCCAAGGCUGAGCCCAUCAGCAACAGCAGUAGUGUCUCCAGGCUAAGAGCCAGGAACGGGAAAUUGCAAUUGCAGCAACUGCAGCCAGAGAAGAGAGGAGUGAGAAUAUGUGAGAGAAGCAGCUCUGCAGACACCAAGGAGGGGCAGGAGGUCCUCCAGGCAUUAGAGCAGAGAUCCACCUGCAGCCCAUGGAGAGCUCUGUGCUGGAGCAGGUGGAUUCCCGAAGGAGGCUGUGACUCUAUGGAAAGUCUACACUGGAGCAGUUUGCUGGGAGGACUUGUGAGCCCAUGGGGGACCCACACUGGAACAAGCUGUUCCUGAGGGACUGCAUCCUGUGGAAUGUAUCCACACUGGAGCACAAAACAAAUGUGCCUCCUCCCUCUGAAGAGGAAUGAGUGCCAGAGACAACAUACCUGACUGAAGCCCCCACUCCCCGUGCCUUGGGUUGGGGGGAGAAGAAAAGUGGGAGUGAAGAGGAGCCAAGGACAGGUGGAGGGAAGGUGUUUUAAGAUUUGGGUUCUCAUUAUCUCUCAAAUAUUGAUUUGAUUGUAAAUAAAUUCAGUUAAUUUCCC